rnacentral:rRNA from 1 species
UACGGAGGGGGCUAGCGUUGUUCGGAAUUACUGGGCGUAAAGCGCACGUAGGCGGCUUUGUAAGUUAGAGGUGAAAGCCCGGGGCUCAACUCCGGAAUUGCCUUUAAGACUGCAUCGCUAGAAUUGUGGAGAGGUAAGUGGAAUUCCGAGUGUAGAGGUGAAAUUCGUAGAUAUCCGGAGGAACACCGGUGGCGAAGGCGGCUAACUGGUCCGGUUCUGACGCUGAGGCGCGAAAGCGUGGGGAGCAAACAGG